UGCUUGAUUCACUUCUACAAGGCUAAUAUUGCUUGAUUCACUUCUACAGACCAAGCUAAUAUUGCUUGAUUCACUUCAUUAAGAG
rnacentral:misc_RNA from 1 species